rnacentral:rRNA from 1 species
UACGGGGGGUGCAAGCGUUAUCCGGAUUUACUGGGUUUAAAGGGUGCGUAGGCGGCUUUUUAAGUCAGUGGUGAAAUCCUAGUGCUCAACACUAGAACUGCCAUUGAAACUGAAAAGCUCGAGUCAAGGAGAGGUAGGCAGAAUUUAUGGUGUAGCAGUGAAAUGCUUAGAUACCAUAAGGAAUACCGACAGCGAAGGCAGCUUACUGGCCUUGCACUGACGCUGAGGCACGAAAGCGUGGGGAGCAAACAGG